rnacentral:rRNA from 2 species
UUAAGCGACUAAGCGUACACGGUGGAUGCCCUGGCAGUCAGAGGCGAUGAAGGACGUGCUAAUCUGCGAAAAGCGUCGGUAAGGUGAUAUGAACCGUUAUAACCGGCGAUGUCCGAAUGGGGAAACCCAGUGCAAUUCGUUGCACUAUCGUUAACUGAAUACAUAGGUUAACGAGGCGAACCGGGGGAACUGAAACAUCUAAGUACCCCGAGGAAAAGAAAUCAACCGAGAUUCCCCCAGUAGCGGCGAGCGAACGGGGAGCAGCCCAGAGUCUGAAUCAGCUUGUGUGUUAGUGGAACGGUCUGGAAAGUCCGACGGUACAGGGUGAUAGUCCCGUACACCAAAAUGCACAGGUUGUGAACUCGAAGAGUAGGGCGGGACACGUGGUAUCCUGUCUGAAUAUGGGGGGACCAUCCUCCAAGGCUAAAUACUCCUGACUGACCGAUAGUGAACCAGUACCGUGAGGGAAAGGCGAAAAGAACCCCGGCGAGGGGAGUGAAAAAGAACCUGAAACCGUGUACGUACAAGCAGUGGGAGCACCUUCGGGUGUGACUGCGUACCUUUUGUAUAAUGGGUCAGCGACUUAUAUUCUGUAGCAAGGUUAACCGUAUAGGGGAGCCGCAGGGAAACCGAGUCUUAACUGGGCGUUAAGUUGCAGGGUAUAGACCCGAAACCCGGUGAUCUAGCCAUGGGCAGGUUGAAGGUUGGGUAACACUAACUGGAGGACCGAACCGACUAAUGUUGAAAAAUUAGCGGAUGACUUGUGGCUGGGGGUGAAAGGCCAAUCAAACCGGGAGAUAGCUGGUUCUCCCCGAAAGCUAUUUAGGUAGCGCCUCGUGAAUUCAUCUUCGGGGGUAGAGCACUGUUUCGGCUAGGGGGUCAUCCCGACUUACCAACCCGAUGCAAACUACGAAUACCGAAGAAUGUUAUCACGGGAGACACACGGCGGGUGCUAACGUCCGUCGUGAAGAGGGAAACAACCCAGACCGCCAGCUAAGGUCCCAAAGUCAUGGUUAAGUGGGAAACGAUGUGGGAAGGCACAGACAGCCAGGAUGUUGGCUUAGAAGCAGCCAUCAUUUAAAGAAAGCGUAAUAGCUCACUGGUCGAGUCGGCCUGCGCGGAAGAUGUAACGGGGCUAAACCAUGCACCGAAGCUGCGGCAGCGACACUAUGUGUUGUUGGGUAGGGGAGCGUUCUGUAAGCCUGCGAAGGUGACCUGUGAGGGUUGCUGGAGGUAUCAGAAGUGCGAAUGCUGACAUAAGUAACGAUAAAGCGGGUGAAAAGCCCGCUCGCCGGAAGACCAAGGGUUCCUGUCCAACGUUAAUCGGGGCAGGGUGAGUCGACCCCUAAGGCGAGGCCGAAAGGCGUAGUCGAUGGGAAACAGGUUAAUAUUCCUGUACUUGGUGUUACUGCGAAGGGGGGACGGAGAAGGCUAUGUUAGCCGGGCGACGGUUGUCCCGGUUUAAGCAUGUAGGCUGGUUAUCCAGGCAAAUCCGGAUAAUCAAGGCUGAGGUGUGAUGACGAGGCACUACGGUGCUGAAGUAACAAAUGCCCUGCUUCCAGGAAAAGCCUCUAAGCAUCAGGUAACAUCAAAUCGUACCCCAAACCGACACAGGUGGUCAGGUAGAGAAUACCAAGGCGCUUGAGAGAACUCGGGUGAAGGAACUAGGCAAAAUGGUGCCGUAACUUCGGGAGAAGGCACGCUGGUGUGUAGGUGAAGCCCCUGCGGGUGGAGCUGAGACCAGUCGAAGAUACCAGCUGGCUGCAACUGUUUAUUAAAAACACAGCACUGUGCAAACACGAAAGUGGACGUAUACGGUGUGACGCCUGCCCGGUGCCGGAAGGUUAAUUGAUGGGGUUAUCCGUAAGGAGAAGCUCUUGAUCGAAGCCCCGGUAAACGGCGGCCGUAACUAUAACGGUCCUAAGGUAGCGAAAUUCCUUGUCGGGUAAGUUCCGACCUGCACGAAUGGCGUAAUGAUGGCCAGGCUGUCUCCACCCGAGACUCAGUGAAAUUGAACUCGCUGUGAAGAUGCAGUGUACCCGCGGCAAGACGGAAAGACCCCGUGAACCUUUACUAUAGCUUGACACUGAACAUUGAGCCUUGAUGUGUAGGAUAGGUGGGAGGCUUUGAAGCGUGGACGCCAGUCUGCGUGGAGCCAACCUUGAAAUACCACCCUUUAAUGUUUGAUGUUCUAACGUUGGCCCCUGACCGGGGUUGCGGACAGUGUCUGGUGGGUAGUUUGACUGGGGCGGUCUCCUCCCAAAGCGUAACGGAGGAGCACGAAGGUUAGCUAAUCCUGGUCGGACAUCAGGAGGUUAGUGCAAUGGCAUAAGCUAGCUUGACUGCGAGCGUGACGGCGCGAGCAGGUGCGAAAGCAGGUCAUAGUGAUCCGGUGGUUCUGAAUGGAAGGGCCAUCGCUCAACGGAUAAAAGGUACUCCGGGGAUAACAGGCUGAUACCGCCCAAGAGUUCAUAUCGACGGCGGUGUUUGGCACCUCGAUGUCGGCUCAUCACAUCCUGGGGCUGAAGUAGGUCCCAAGGGUAUGGCUGUUCGCCAUUUAAAGUGGUACGCGAGCUGGGUUUAGAACGUCGUGAGACAGUUCGGUCCCUAUCUGCCGUGGGCGCUGGAGAAUUGAGGGGGGCUGCUCCUAGUACGAGAGGACCGGAGUGGACGCAUCACUGGUGUUCGGGUUGUCAUGCCAAUGGCACUGCCCGGUAGCUAAAUGCGGAAGAGAUAAGUGCUGAAAGCAUCUAAGCACGAAACUUGCCCCGAGAUGAGUUCUCCCUGAGACUUUAAGUCUCCUGAAGGAACGUUGAAGACGACGACGUUGAUAGGCCGGGUGUGUAAGCGCAGCGAUGCGUUGAGCUAACCGGUACUAAUGAACCGUGAGGCUUAACCUU